rnacentral:rRNA from 1 species
UACGUAGGGUGCGAGCGUUGUCCGGAAUUAUUGGGCGUAAAGGGCUCGUAGGCGGUUUGUCGCGUCGGGAGUGAAAACCUCGGGCUUAACUCGGGGCUUGCUUUCGAUACGGGCAGACUAGAGGUAUGCAGGGGAGAACGGAAUUCCUGGUGUAGCGGUGAAAUGCGCAGAUAUCAGGAGGAACACCGGUGGCGAAGGCGGUUCUCUGGGCAUGAUCUGACGCUGAGGAGCGAAAGCUAGGGGAGCAAACAGG